CGUAACGCGUGGGAAUCUGCCCUUUGCUUCGGAAUAACAGUGAGAAAUUACUGCUAAUACCGGAUGAUGUCUUCGGACCAAAGAUUUAUCGGCAAAGGAUGAGCCCGCGUAGGAUUAGCUAGUUGGUGGGGUAAUGGCCUACCAAGGCGACGAUCCUUAGCUGGUCUGAGAGGAUGAUCAGCCACACUGGGACUGAGACACGGCCCAGACUCCUACGGGAGGCAGCAGUGGGGAAUAUUGGACAAUGGGCGAAAGCCUGAUCCAGCAAUGCCGCGUGAGUGAUGAAGGCCUUAGGGUUGUA
rnacentral:rRNA from 1 species